UCUCGGACCAUUCUUUCCGCCGUCGUCGUGGCUAGAAAAGCCGUCGCCAUUGCGUGGGAAGCCCGUUUUCAUGCCGUCAUCGUUCUCGUUCGCAUGGGAUCUCACGAACGACGAGCUUUCUCUCCUCUCUCUCUAUCCGCCUCCGCCUCGGCCUCCGUCGGAGUCUCUCUCACAAUUCCGGAGACGCUCAGAUCCUCCCUUUUAGAUCUCCACUGUUCGCUGCGAAGCUUCAGAGACGAGAUCGGUGUUGGAUCUCGCAGCUCGCCGGAGACGUAGCACGUGACCAGAUCCUGUUUCUCCGACGCCUGAUGUCUCCGGAUCUCCGGUGUUCUCCUUGGAUCUCCGAUCUCAGUUGAUUUUCUCCUUAGAUCUCCGAUCUCCAACGUCCUUCUCUCUUUGCAUUUGACUCUCUCUUCUCACCGUGAAGACGUCGUGCCCUAGUGAUCGCUUGGAAUCGAUGAUGCAGAUUCGACUUCCGGUUCUCCACAGCACCAACGUCGUGACGUCCCGGAGUUGGGCGAGGUACUGGGAUCCACAUUUACUACAGGAGACGAUGACAAGAUAAACUUUAUUGAAUCUACUUUCUCAUUUGUAUUUGGGGAUGGUGAUCCAAAUCAAGGAAUUGAAGAAGAGAGAUGAAAGUUGAUAAUACUUGAGCACUAAGUUCAGUGAUUGGAAACAAGGGAAUUGUGGCUAUGAGAGAGAAUGGUAAGUCCCUCAGAAAUCUUAGCCUCCGGUUUUGUGAUAGG